UGGGGAAUAUUGCACAAUGGGCGCAAGCCUGAUGCAGCCAUGCCGCGUGUAUGAAGAAGGCCUUCGGGUUGUAAAGCACUUUCAGCGGGGAGGAAGGCGAUAAGGUUAAUAACCUCAUCGAUUGACGUUACCCGCAGAAGAAGCACCGGCUAACUCCGUGCCAGCAGCCGCGGUAAUACGGAGGGUGCAAGCGUUAAUCGGAAUUACUGGGCGUAAAGCGCACGCAGGCGGUCUGUCAAGUCGGAUGUGAAAUCCCCGGGCUCAACCUGGGAACUGCAUUCGAAACUGGCAGGCUAGAGUCUUGUAGAGGGGGGUAGAAUUCCAGGUGUAGCGAUGAAAUGCGUAGAGAUCUGGAGGAAUACCGGUGGCGAAGGCGGCCCCCUGGACAAAGACUGACGCUCAGGUGCGAAAGCGGGGGGAGCAAACAGG
rnacentral:rRNA from 1 species